ACGCACGCUGGCGGCAGGCUUCACACCUGCAAGUCGCGCGCCCCGCAAGGGGAGCGGCCGACGGGUGAGUAACGCGUGGGAACGUACCUUUUGGUUCGGAACAACUCCGGGAAACUGGAGCUAAUACCGGAUAAGCCCUAACGGGGAAAGAUUUAUCGCCGAAAGAUCGGCCCGCGUCUGAUUAGCUAGUUGGUGAGGUAACGGCUCACCAAGGCGACGAUCAGUAGCUGGUCUGAGAGGAUGAUCAGCCACACUGGGACUGAGACACGGCCCAGACUCCUACGGGAGGCAGCAGUGGGGAAUAUUGGACAAUGGGCGCAAGCCUGAUCCAGCCAUGCCGCGUGAGUGAUGAAGGCCUUAGGGUUGUAAAGCUCUUUUGUCCGGGAAGAUAAUGACUGUACCGGAAGAAUAAGCCCCGGCUAACUUCGUG
rnacentral:rRNA from 1 species